UGAGUAACACGUGGGGAAUCUGCCUAUAAGUGGGGGAUAACAUUCGGAAACGGAUGCUAAUACCGCAUAUAUUCAAAAACCGCAUGGUUUCUGAAAGAAAGACGGCUUUGCUGUCGCUUAUAGAUGAUCCCGCGGCGUAUUAGUUAGUUGGUGGGGUAAUGGCCUACCAAGACCAUGAUACGUAGCCGACCUGAGAGGGUGAUCGGCCACACUGGGACUGAGACACGGCCCAGACUCCUACGGGAGGCAGCAGUAGGGAAUCUUCCACAAUGGGUGCAAACCUGAUGGAGCAAUGCCGCGUGAAUGAAGAAGGUCUUCGGAUCGUAAAGUUCUGUUAUUAGAGAAGAACAAGUCAAGGAGUAACUGUCUUGACUUUGACGGUACCUAACCAGAAAGUCACGGCUAACUACGUGCCAGCAGCCGCGGUAAUACGUAGGUGACAAGCGUUGUCCGGAAUUAUUGGGCGUAAAGGGAGCGCAGGCGGUUGGAAUAGUCUGAUGUGAA
rnacentral:rRNA from 1 species